rnacentral:misc_RNA from 1 species
AGUCGUAACAAGGUUUCCGUAGGUGAACCUGCGGAAGGAUCAUUAACGCGCAGGCCGGAGGCUGGCCCCCCACGAUAGGAAUCAACGUUCCAUCAGGGGUGUGCAGAUGUGCGCCGGUCUUACGCCCCAUUCUUGUCUACCUUACUCGGUUGCCUCGGCGGGCCGCGCUCUCCUGGGAGAGUCGUCCGGCGAGCCUCUUUGGGGGCUUUAGCUGGAUCGCGCCCGCCGGAGGACAGACAUCAAAAAAUCUUGGAAAGCUGUCAGUCUGAGCGUUAGCAAGUAAAAUUAGUUAAAACUUUCAACAACGGAUCUCUUGGUUCCGGCAUCGAUGAAGAACGCAGCGAAAUGCGAUAAGUAAUGUGAAUUGCAGAAUUCCGUGAAUCAUCGAAUCUUUGAACGCACAUUGCGCCCUCUGGUAUUCCGGGGGGCAUGCCUGUUCGAGCGUCAUUUCAACCCCUCAAGCCCGGCUUGUGUGAUGGACGACCGUCCGACCUCCUCUUUCGGGGGCGGGACGCGCCCGAAAAGCAGUGGCCAGGCCGCGAUCCCGGCUUCCUGGGCGAAUGGGCAGUCAAACCAGCGCCCUCAGGACCGGCCGCUCUGGCCUUCCCCCAAAUCUCUCUGAGAUAUUUUUUCAGGUUGACCUCGGAUCAGGUAGGGAUACCCGCUGAACUUAAGCAUAUCAAUAAGCGGAGGAA